UACAGAAGGUGCAAGCGUUAAUCGGAUUUAUUGGGCGUAAAGGGUGCGUAGGUGGUAAAGCAAGUAAGAUGUGAAAGCCCCGGGCUUAACCUGGGAAGUGCAUCUUAAACUGCUUAACUAGAGUAUGGUAGAGGGUAGUGGAAUUUCCGGUGUAGCGGUGAAAUGCGUAGAUAUCGGAAGGAACGCCAGUGGUGAAGACGACUACCUGGACCAAUACUGACACUGAGGCACGAAAGCGUGGGGAUCAAACAGG
rnacentral:rRNA from 1 species